rnacentral:rRNA from 1 species
GACGAACGCUGGCGGCGUGCUUAACACAUGCAAGUCGAACGGUAAGGCCCUUCGGGGUACACGAGUGGCGAACGGGUGAGUAACACGUGGGUGAUCUGCCCUGCACUUCGGGAUAAGCCUGGGAAACUGGGUCUAAUACCGGAUAGGACUCCUGCCUGCAUGGGUGGGGGUGGAAAGCUUUUGCGGUGUGGGAUGGGCCCGCGGCCUAUCAGCUUGUUGGUGGGGUGAUGGCCUACCAAGGCGACGACGGGUAGCCGGCCUGAGAGGGGGACCGGCCACACGGGGACUGAGAUACGGCCCAGACUCCUACGGGAGGCAGCAGUGGGGAAUAUUGCACAAUGGGCGCAAGCCUGAUGCAGCGACGCCGCGUGAGGGAUGACGGCCUUCGGGUUGUAAACCUCUUUCAGCACAGACGAAGCGCAAGUGACGGUAUGUGCAGAAGAAGGACCGGCCAACUACGUGCCAGCCGCCGCGGUAA